ACUCCUACGGGAGGCUGCAGUGGGGAAUAUUGCGCAAUGGGGGAAACCCUGACGCAGCAACGCCGCGUGAAGGAUGAAGGUUUUCGGAUUGUAAACUUCUUUGAUUGGGGACGAAGAAAUGACGGUACCCAAAAAACAAGCCACGGCUAACUACGUGCCAGCAGCCGCGGUAAUACGUAGGUGGCGAGCGUUGUCCGGAAUUACUGGGUGUAAAGGGCGUGUAGGCGGGAAUGUAAGUCAGAUGUGAAAUUCCAGGGCUCAACCCUGGCGCUGCAUCUGAAACUAUGUUUCUUGAGUGCUGGAGAGGAAAGCGGAAUUCCUAGUGUAGCGGUGAAAUGCGUAGAUAUUAAGAGGAACACCAGUGGCGAAGGCGGCUUUCUGGACAGUAACUGACGCUGAGGCGCGAAAGCGUGUGGGAGCAMACAGGAUUAGAUACCCUGGUAGUCCACGCUGUAAACGAUGGAUACUAKGUGUAGGAGGUAUCGACCCCUUCUGUGCCGCAGUUAACACAAUAAGUAUCCCACCUGGGGAGUACGGCCGCAAGGUUGAAACUCAAAGGAAUUGACGGGGGCCCGCACAAGCAGUGGAGUAUGUGGUUUAAUUCGAAGCAACGCGAAGAACCUUACCAGGGCUUGACAUACCAUUGAAGUACCCAGAGAUGGGUAUGUCCUUCGGGACAAUGGAUACAGGUGGUGCAUGGUUGUCGUCAGCUCGUGUCGUGAGAUGUUGGGUUAAGUCCCGCAACGAGCGCAACCCCUAUUGUUAGUUGCCAUCAUUAAGUUGGGCACUCUAGCGAGACUGCCGGUGACAAAUCGGAGGAAGGUGGGGACGACGUCAAAUCAUCAUGCCCCUUAUGUCCUGGGCUACACACGUACUACAAUGGCUAUUACAGCAGGAUGCGAAAGAGUAAUCUGGAGCCAAUCCCUAAAAAUAGCCCCAGUUCAGAUUGUGGGCUGCAACUCGCCCACAUGAAGUCGGAAUUGCUAGUAAUUGCAGGUCAGCAUACUGCAGUGAAUACGUUCCCGGGCCUUGUACACACCGCCCGU
rnacentral:rRNA from 1 species